UGGUCCGGGCUUCAAAACCGAUGACGGCCCGUG
rnacentral:tRNA from 1 species